UACGAAGGGGCUAGCGUUGCUCGGAAUCACUGGGCGUAAAGGGUGCGUAGGCGGGUCUUUAAGUCAGGGGUGAAAUCCUGGAGCUCAACUCCAGAACUGCCUUUGAUACUGAAGAUCUUGAGUUCGGGAGAGGUGAGUGGAACUGCGAGUGUAGAGGUGAAAUUCGUAGAUAUUACGGAAGAACACCAGUGGCGAAGGCGGACUCACUGG
rnacentral:rRNA from 1 species